GGGGAUUGGGCCUUGAAGAAAAUUAUUAUUGACGGUGAAGUUUGCAAGCACUUUAGUUUGGCAAAUGGUUUGGGGCAAAGAACCAGUGAACUGGUUGUGGUCUAGUUGAAGUACAGAUAGUUUUGGUAGACUUGCUAUCUCUUCAGGUAUUGAUCCAGAAAGGUUAUUAUCGCGGAGAUACAAAGAUUCGACCGCGCUUAAAUUGCCAAAGGAAAGCGGAAUUGGACCAGUAAGUCUAUUCUCACUCAACUCUAGAUCAAUAAUAGACUUUAAGUUGCCCAAUUCUUCUGGAAUGGAGCCGGAGAGCUGGUUUCCAUAGAGAUGAAGAGUGGUAAGACUAGUCAGACCACCUAAUGAUGCUGGAAUUUGGCCAGAAAGAUUGUUUGCAUAAAGACUAAGCUUCUGGAGAGAUUUCAAAUUUCCGAUUUCUUGAGGAAUUGUACCGGAGAGUUUAUUCUUGAACAUAAGCAAUACAGUUAGGUUUUUCAAGUUCCCAAAAGUGGAAGGAAUUGGACCUGAUAGACUAUUUGUAUCAAUAAAAAUUUCUCGCAAAUUGGUGAGAUUUCCCAUUUCGGGAGGAAUUGAACCGGAAAGUUGAUUUUCAUAGAGAUAUAAACUAACCAUCUUGGUUAAAUUACCCAAAGAAGCAGGAAUAGGACCUUCUAGAUUAUUGGUAUACAAGGCAAGCUCAGUAAGGGAACUCAAGUUCCCUAUUUCUCGAGGAAUCGAGCCAUUAAAGUGAUUAGCAGCAAGAUGCAGGGUAUCAAGAUUUGUUAACAAGCCAAUUUCAGGAGGAAUAUUUCCGUACAAGAAGUUAUAUGACAAAUCAAGAUAAAUGAGUUUUGAAAGCUGAGUCAGGCCAAGCGGAAUUGUACCAGAGAGUUCAUUGAUACUAAGAUCAAUAUAUGAAAGAUCAGGAAAAGAAGAGAAAGAAAGAUCAUUCAGUGCACCAUUUAGACCUGCAUUCGUCAGAUUCAACCUAACUACUCUGCCUCCAUUGUUGCAAGAAAUUCCAAGCCAAUUGCAAGGUGUCGUUCUUGAAUUUGAAUUGGAGGUAUUUUGAGAAAGAAGAGGCCAUGAAGAAAUAUUUGACUGUUUCAGGUUAUUGAGACUGGCUGCCCAUUUGAGAAGAGCAUUUGCUUCUUCAACAGAGUCUGAAGCAACAAAAAGUGAAGAAGGUAACAGAAAAAGUAAAAGAAUGGAAAUAAGAGAGGGAAAACUGUACAAGGUGAAAGUUGCCAUGGAUGUUUUCGCCUUGUUGUUUCCAGACUUUGGAAUUUUGCUCUUAAUGUAUACGUAGCUAGUUUGAGCCCUGUAGUUAGUCCGUAGACCAAGACUUAGUUAGUCCUCCACUGUAACAGGUGGGCCUAUUCUCCAUUUUCAUUGAGUUGAUCUAUCAUGGAAGACUUUGAAUUCCAUUGAGUUGUUUAGUUUACUUUUGGCGAAUUAUUUUUGGAUUGUGGAAAAAUGCAGGAUAGGUUUUUUUUGGACCGGAGAUAAAAUAGACAGCGACAUUGUUGUUAGCUGAAAUGGACUAAUUAUGUUUUAUUAAUAUUGACUAAUGCAAUAAAUUCAAAGUCGUCGCCUGAAGCAUGCAACAACUGAGCUCAGAAAGUGGUGCAUUAUUUUUUCUUUGGUCGUGUUUUUGACUUUUCUGCCAUUGCCGUAAGGUAGGGUUGGAGCUAAUAACUAUCGAGUCCCAAAAACCAAGUAAACACCUCUUUUAGUAAUAAUAGCUUUUUCCUUUUGGAAAAAAAUAUCCAAAGACCAGAAGUUCGGCCUCGUAUUUCAACCAUUUUAAUGACUUCUACACCUUUGUUUGGGAACAAAAACAUAUUUUGAAAAAAUAACUAUUUUUUCUUCUUUGUGUGUGGAUGUGGGGCUUAAAUAUUUUAAACUUAGGUAGAAAAUUUUGGAUGGAAAUCUUUUGAAAAAAUAAUUAUUUUUUCUUCUACACCUUUCUUAUUUUUCCUCCUUUUCUCAAGUAAGGAAAUAACAUUUUGUUAUUGUUUAUUUUAGUUAUUUUAUUUCUUUCCAAACUUUACCUCUAUUCAAACAGAGCCUUAGAAUUUGACAACCUUUACUUAUUACCAAGCUUCACACAAGAAUGAAGCUGCAAAGGACAUUAGACGUUUUGAUAAUGCCCAAAACUCUGCCAUUUACAACAAUUCAGUUAUUUCUGUUUUAACCGAUUUUCCUUCAUAGAUAACCGAACUAAAACCGAUAAACCAACUCAAAAUAUAAUUAAAAUUGAAUUACUUUACCAACAAAAAUUGAAAGUUUAAUGAUCAUAUGCAUAAUAAGUUCAACGACUUUAUAUGAGUGAGGUUACAUUGGAAGCAGAGUAUUCAAUGCUUUCUAAUGAAAUUAAGCUUCUUUUCUAGGAUGAAAAUGACAAAAAAUGAUUGAAAACACUCUCCAUGUCCGGUCUAGACUGUGGAUUAACAUUUAAGCAUGAAACUGCAAGACUGAUGAUGAAUGCCAAUUUCUCUUCUUCUUCAGGUGAGGGAGCUGACAAUCUCUGAUCCAUCACAUCCUGUAAUUCUAUCUCUAUAUUAUUAUUACCAGAAUCUGCUGAUAAUAAUGUAGAGAUUAUAUCGCCGGGAUGCUUUCCUUUGAUGACUUCUAUUGCUAAAACUCCAAAACUAUACACAUCACAUUUUUCGGUCACUUUCAUUGUGUAAGCAAGCUCUGCAAGAACACAGAAAGACAAAUGAAUGAAAUUUUUAACAGCAGCAAUAUCAAAGUAUACAAUUAUCUUUACCUGGUGCUACAUAUCCAUAUGUUCCUGCAAGCAUUGUCCGAUUAGACGAGUCUAGCUUGAGAAGCUUAGCCGUGCCAAAAUCAGAAACAUGAGCUUCAUAUUCUGAAUCCAACAAGACAUUCUUGCUUGAUAUGUCUCGAUGAAUAAUUGGUGGAGAACAGUCAUGGUGUAUAUAGGAGAGGGCGCGAGCCACGCCUGAAAUAACUUUCAACCUUUUAUCCCAGUCCAAUUCUCUUGCAGCUUCAGGAUUGUUCAGGAUUGAGGCAAGGCUACCCCUCUGUAAGUACUCAUAGACUAAGAAUGUAUGUCGAGAAUGUGAACAAAAACCAUAGAGUUUGACAAUAUUUCGAUGCCUUAUCUCUGUUAAUACACUAAUCUCGUUCAGAAAUUCUUUCUGAUUAGCCAUCUCAUCCUGAUGAAAGGAAUGGAAUUUCUUUACAGCUACAGUAUUUCCUGAUGCCAAGUCUGCUUUGUAGACACGUCCAAAUCCACCCUCUCCAAUGCAGUGCAUUUCAUCGAAAAUGUUAGUUGCUUGUAGAAUAUCUUCAAACAUUAUUUUUCCAUCAAAAAUUGAUAUGAAAUGCAACUCUUCAUUAUUCAUACUGCUUCGAGUGUCAGAGCUUCUCUGCUUCCUAGUUCGAAAACUUAAGAUCAGGAUGAUUAAAGCACAUAAGAGAAAAAUAGCACCAAAAAUAGGAAAUACAACCGUUAGAAAAAAUUUCAUGACCCUAGCGGUUGUGCAUGGUUUAAGACUGCUAUUUUUCCCGCAGAGUUGUUUGUUUCCUUCCAAUGCAGCUUCUUGAAAUGCUUUGCAGUCAGGGAUUGGACCCCGUAGAUCAUUUUCUGAUAGAUCAACUGAUUUCAAAUACGGUAGCUCGGCAAAAGUUGCUGGAAUGACACCAGUGAGUUUAUUAUGAGAGAGAUUCAAUAUUUCCAAGCUUCUUAGACUUGAAAAUUGUUCUGGUAUUUCUCCAUGGAGCAUGUUAUGGCUAAGAUCAAGCUGGGAAAGGCCUUUCAAAUUCUCGAAAGAUGCUGGAAUUAUACCAGUGAGGUAAUUGCCUGAGAGAUUCAUUUUCUCCAAUGUCUCAAACCUGCUAAACUCUAACGGUAUUUCUCCAGAGAGAAAAUUAUUACUUAGAUCAAACUUAGACAGGUGAACUAAGUUGCUCAUCUGAACCGGAAUCUUUCCACUGAACCUGUUCUUGCUCAAGUUCAAGUCAAUCAAACUCAACAAGUCCCCUAAAUUACUUGUAAUUGCUCUGCUCAAUCUGUUUGCGGACAAGUCAAGAUACUGAAGUCGGGAGAGUGAUGAGAGUUCAAUAGGAAUAUUACCAAACAGUUGGUUAUCAUUCAAUUCUAACACUCCUAAAGAAACCAGUUUUCCAAUUUCCUUUGGAAUUUCUCCAGCUAAAUUAUUUGCAGACAGAUCAAGCUCUUCCAGUGUUGUCAAAUUUCCAAGUUCUGGUGGUAUUUUACCAGAAAUAUUGUUCCCUGCAAUAUAUAGGGCGGUUAAUUGAGAACAUUUCCCCCAAGUAGACGACAUUUCUCCAUAGAAAUUAUUUUGGCUCAGAUUUAUAAAUAGCAGGUUUGGAUAGACACCAAAAUCUUCAAAUACAUUACCAAAAAACUGGUUGCCGUCAAAUCUGGCUCUAAUUAAUGUUGAGCAAUUUCUCAAACUUUUGGGUAUUGGACCUGUGAGUUGAUUGUCAUUUACAAUCAAUCUAAGAAGAAAUCCGCCAGCGCAAAUAUUCUGGGGCAAGGAUCCUGUAAACUGGUUCGAGUCUAGAUGCAGUUGGGAUAGUUUGGUGAGAUGUCCAAUUUCUUGAGGAAUUGAACCGGAAAGUUGAUUGUCUCUAAGGUAUAGCCGGUCUAAGUUGCUUAAAUUACCAAAUGAAGCAGGAAUUGAACCAUUCAGUUGAUUUUCACUCAACUCUAGAUCAACAAGGUACUUUAAGUUCCCUAGCUCAGCAGGAAUUGGACCAGAAAGUUGAUUUUGGAAGAGCUGAAGAAUUUUAAUAUUGCUUGGAUUGCCCAAUGAUGCUGGAAUGGGACCAGAAAGUUUAUUUCUUUUAAGGCUCAGUUUCUCCAGAGAUUUCAAAUUUCCAAUUUCUUCAGGGAUGUAACCUGUUAAGCUGUUGGUAUCAAGGAAAAGUGCAACCAAAUUGGAGAGAUUUCCAAUUUCUUGAGGAAUAGAACCAGAAAGUGAAUUGUUGUAAAGAUACAAGUAACGCAGGUUGGAUAAAUUUCCAAAACAAGAAGGAAUUGAAUCAACUAGAUGGUUGUUGUACAAUGCAAGCUCUUUAAGCAAACUGAGAUGACACAUCUGUUGUGGAAUUGAACCAUUUAAUUGAGUUUCGACAAGGUGCAGCGUCUUAAGGUUAGUUAAAAGGCCAAUUUCAGGUGGGAUUUUACCAGAUAAUAGGUUAAUGGAUAAAUCUAGAUAGACGAGUUUCGAUAAUUGUCCUAUUUGAGACGGGAUGUUGCCAUAGAAUUGAUUUACACUGAGAUCAAUGUAUGCAAGUUUAGGAAGAGAUGAAAAUGGAAAAUUUUGAAGUGUACCUUCUACACCCGAAUUGGUUAGGUUUAAACGGUGGACUCUACCAGCACGGUUACAAAUAAUACCGAACCAAUCACAAGGACUAAAAAUAUUGGUGCCGUUUGCAGGAUAAAGAGACCAUUUAGGCAGGAAUGGAUUGGUCUGGUUAAGGCUAGCUUUCCAUUUGACAAGGGAAAGAGCUUCAUCUAUAGAACCAGAAGAAACUUUAAGUGAAGAAUGUGAAAUAAUAAGCAGGAUAAAGGGAAGAACAAGUGAGAGACCCAUAGUUUAUGAGCAAGGCAAGUAAAGAUCUGGGUGCCUCUUCUUGUGAAAGUGCAAUAUAUUUACCCAUGGAGGUCACCAUCUUCGUUCCCUCGUUAAUCAGUAACGUAAAUUACUUAUUGUGGAUGUCACUGUUUAAGUGAUGAAAAAUAUUUGUCCAUAUUUUAAUACUUGGAAUGUUUUCAUUUUGGAAGACUUUGCAGAAUCAAUAUACCUUUCUGUUAGUGUUAUAAGCGUUAGAAAUAAAUUGAUUUUUCCAGGAUCUAAAAUUCAAGCCAUGUGCUUCCAUAAUUGAAGACUCGGUAAAACUUCUAGUUAUAUCAUUUUCAACUGAAGAGUUGCCCCUAAAAUCUUCCUAAGACAAGUCUUGCACUUGUCUCCACAAGCUAGAAAAAAUCAUUUCAAUACACGCCGUAACCGGCGGUGACAGUUAAAUGGAACAUGUCAUCCACCAGUAUUAGUACCCUGAUCUGCAAGACUGCAACUUCCAAGUUUUCUCUGUUUUAUCACUUGUAAAUGCAAUAGAAAAUUAAUUGCAGAGAGAGAGAGAGAGGGGUGUAUUCUUCUUGAAAAAUCGUUAGUGCUUAGUAAUAGACAGCAACAACUUAUGCUGCACUUUCUUGCAAUUAAAACUAUUCAAGGCCAACAUAGAUGAACAAUAAGAAAAUCAAUUCACCAUAUAUAAAUCCACAACAAAAUAUCUCACUCACUAAUUUUUUUUUUUUUAAAAAAAGAGCUAAUAAAUCCAAUCCAAGUAAAAGAAGAUAUGUCACUCCUUAAUUUUUUUAAUUUCAAAAGAUAAUAAAAUUAACUCUGAUUAAUGUGUUCACACUAAAGUAUAGCUUAGUGGUAAAUGCAUAUAAAACAAGUAUUCACUUGUUAAGUUCAUUUUUUCCCCCUAAAACAAAGAAUAUUUUAAGGUGAAUUUAAUUAAAAAAAAUCUUAAAUGGGUCUUUUUUUUUUUUCUAACCACGUCAUGAAUAAAUGUGGCCAAGGUAUUAAUAGAUUGUUAGUAAUAUUUUUUUAUCAGCAUGCAUACAGACCCAAUGGAAAGUUUUAAUUGCAAACAAAUAAAAGGAAAAUGCAAAGACUUGCAAUCUAUCAUGUGAGUUUGGAACCUGUUCUGUUUCAGCAGCAGAACUUUGGGCGUUGCUCCAGGGAUUAAAGCUAGCCAGGUCCUUGGGGAUAAGUCCAAUUCACCUGGAGUGUGAUAAUUUGGUGGUUGUGAAUAUGAUUAAACGAGAAAUGAUACCGCUUUGAUCAUGUGGACCAUAAAGCCAAUUUAUGUGCAGAUUGGUUAGCUACUUUAGCAGAAAGUAUCCCUUUAGGAGUCUAUGUCCUUAAUAUUGUUCCUCCAAGUUUAGAGGAUUGGUUACUCCAAGAUAUUUGUGGAAUAACCUAUUCUAGGUUUUGUUGCUAAGAGGUUUACCCUCUCUCAUUUGUAACAAAAAAGAAAUGUUGUGUACAUUUCCUGCACAAAUUUAAAUAUUAUCGCAUCACAACAUUUAUUUCUCUUAUAUUUAAUAUGAUUGAUGAUUCCUAUAUCCAAUAAAAAAAAAUGUAAAAAGUAAAAUAAAUAAAAGAGUCCUAGAUGUGUGUAUAAAUCUCUAGAGAUUGUGGAAUUUGAUCAUCUAAUAUUUCAGAAAUCAUAUGCAUUGUAGGCCGAGACUCUGGAUUGCCGCACAAGCAUGCAUUUGCAAUUUUCACGAUUGUCAUCAAUUCUUCUUUAAUUUCAGGCGCAGGACUUGGAAGCCGUUCGUCUAUAACAUCUUCAAGUUGUAUGUUGGUUGAUGAAGGAGACGACACAGAGAAGAUGAUUUCACCUGGAUGCUUUCCGUUGAUCACUUCUAGAGCCAACACUCCGAAACUAUAUACAUCACAUUUUUCCGUCAUCUUCAUCGUGUAUGCAAACUCUGCCAUCAAAAGUUCAUUUAAAGAAAAUGCAAAAUUAAAUACAAGAUAAUAACAUUUCAGUUGGAAAAAAUCAAAAAAAAUAAAAAAAAGUGCAGAUACUGGACCAAUUAUGUUAGUACUUUUAGAACCAAAUGAAUCAUUAAGAUUGGUUUAUUGCUUAGUACAAUUCAACUUGGUCAAGACUAAAUAGAAAAUAAUGCUAAAAUUUUACCUGGACCAAUAUAUCCAUACGUACCAGCCAUUACACUCCAAUGGGAAGAAUCAAGAUAGAGAAGCUUUGCGGUGCCGAAGUCAGAUACGUGAGCUUCAAAAUCAGAAUCGAGCAAAAUAUUUUUGCUUGUUAUGUCUCUAUGAACAAUUGGGGGUGAGCAAUUGUGAUGCAUAUAAGACAAUGCAUUAGCAACUCCUUUAACAAUCUUUACUCUCUUACCCCAGUCCAAUUCUUUAGCUUCUUCGUCGUUGUCCAGCACUGUAGCCAAGCUACCACCUCCAAGAUACUCAUAAACCAAAAGAAUGUGCUUUGAAUCGGAGCAAAAACCGUAAAGCUUUGUCAUGUUUUUAUGCCUUAUUUCUGUUAAUGCCCUUAUCUCGUUCAAGAACUCUUGUCGAUAUUUCCGUUCACCAUCACCAAAUUCAACUGGGUCUAGCUUCUUUACCGCUACUAUGAUUCCUGAUGGCAGAUUUGCUUUGUACACAGUUCCAAAUCCUCCUUUACCAAUACAAUAUACAGAAUCAAAAUUAUCAGUGCAUUUUAUUAUCUCAUCAUGCAUAAUUCUUCCAUUAGAAGUCGGAGCAAGAAAUGGUUCAUCUCGUUGUUCAUCGCCUUUUUCCGCUUCUAAAUCUGCUUUUCUUUUUUGCAAAAAGAUAUAAACUCCUAAAAGAAGCGAAAGAACUCCAAAAACAGGAAGGAAAAUUGUUAGAUACAACAUUUUCCGGUUCUUUUUUGAAGUAAGGAUUUUUGUAGAAGAUGAACUGCAGGGCGGCAAUCCUUUGACAAUUCCACACAACCCUUUAUUCCCUUGAAGUGCUUCAAUUGUAGCAUUUUGAAAUGCUUUGUUGUUUGGAAUCGGACCUUCUAAUUCAUUGUAAGAUAUGUCAACGGUAACCAAACCAAGCAUAUUACUAAAACCAUGUGGAAUAAAGCCGGAAAUAUUAUUGUAAGAGAUGUUCAAAAUCUCCAAGCUCUGCAUACCACUUAAUUGCGAUGGAAUCUCUCCCUUGAAAAAAUUACGGCUUAAAUCCAGCACUGAUAACUGAAAUAACUUUCCUAACCCAAUUGGAAUUUCUUGGCUAAAUUCAUUGAUGCUCAAAUUCAAGUAAAUAAUAUUAGCCAAGUUUCCAAUGUUUUCAGGAAUUGCGCUCAACCUGUUUGAUGAAAGGUCUAGGAACUGGAGAUCGGUCAACGAUUCCAAUUCUAAAGGAAUGGCGUCGGAGAACCAAUUGUCAGCUAAAAUUAACAUAUAUAAAGAAGUCAAUUUCCCCAACUCCUUAGGAAUUCUUCCAGAUAAUUGAUUUGAAGAAAGAUCAAGUGCUUGUAGCCGAUUUGCAUUUCCAAGCUCUGCUGGUACGGAACCAGUAAUAUUGUUAUCUGCGAUCAGUAAAGCGGCCAGUUGCGGACAUUUUCCCCAGUUAGAUGAUAUUUCUCCUUGGAGUUUGUUUUGGCUUAGAUCUAGGAAAUGAAGCUGAGGAUAGACACCAAAAUCUUCAGAUAUAUUUCCAGUGAAUUGGUUUCCCUCCAAACGAACUCUCUUGAAGCUCACACAAUCUCUAAAGCUUUUGGGGAUUGGGCCUCGAAGAAAAUUAUUAUUGACGGUGAAGUUUGCAAGCACUUUAGUUUGGCAAAUGGUUUGGGGCAAAGAACCAGUGAACUGGUUGUUGUCUAGUUGAAGUGUAGAUAGUUUUGGUAGACUUGCUAUCUCUUCAGGUAUUGAUCCAGAAAGGUUAUUAUCGCGGAGAUACAAAGAUUCGACCUCGCUUAAAUUGCCAAAGGAAAGAGGGAUUGGACCAGUAAGUCUAUUCUCACUUAACUCUAGAUCAAUAAUAGACUUUAAGUUGCCCAAUUCUUCUGGA
rnacentral:lncRNA from 1 species